AGUGGUUAUUUUUCCUCAGCUAGAGGGAAGAACAAAGGAAUGGAGCCCAGAUGCACCAGAAUGGGGACCUGGUGGAAGAACUGAAAAAGCUGGGGAUCCGCUCCACCCUUUUAGAUGAAAAAAGAAAUAUGGAUGUGCCCAUAGCACACAUUACUCAGCUUUGAAACUGGCAGAUAAGGCUGUUGCCUUACAGAAGGGCAGAGAAACAUGAAGGAAUCAACCCAAGUCCAUGAGUGACUGAAUGAGUUGAGUAGGCCACCUAUGUGCUCUGGACUGUCAAGUGGAGAGAAACUUGACAAGUGACAGAGUCUCACUCUGCUGCCCAGGCUAGAGUACAGUGGUAUGAUCUCAGCUCACCUCAACCUCCACCUCCCGGAUUCAAGCGACUCUCCUGCCUCAGCCUCCCAAGUAGCUGGGAUCACAGGCGUGCACCACCAUGCCUGGAUGAUUUUUGUAUUUUUAGUAGAGACUGGUUCUCACCAUGUUGGCCAGUGUGGUCUCGAACUCCUUACCUCAGGUGAUCCGCCUGCCUUGGCCUUCCAAAGUGCUGGGAUUAUAGGCAUGAGCCACCGCACCCGGCCAGCACUUACACUUAUACAUCAUGUAUUGUAAUUGCUCAUUUCCUUGUCUGUGUCUCCCAUUAGUCCCUCAGCUCUACAAGUUUGGGGAUUGUAUCAGUUUUUUCCACUGCUCUCUCAGUUUCGCUGACACACAAUAGAAAUUUAUUAAAUGUUUGUUGAUUAAAUGAAUAAAAUGGUGAGAGACUUCAAGCUUAGGUGCCUUGGGAGAGCCAUAACCAGACAGGAUUCCUCUGUUAAAGCUUAAUCUAUGAGCUGCUGACAAUUGUAAAGCCAGAGCCCCAAGGCCUGCGGUCACUUUCAGAUGAUGUCCCUUUCGGGAGGUGUCAGUGAAACCCACCUGCCCACCACCUUGCCUGUCUGUUUUCUGUGUGCUGUGUGGGCCAAGUAGUACUGGGAGGAGCAGCUUUAAAUCUGAAAGUGUCCUAUACAUUUUCCAAGCCUCUGUAGCAGUCACCAUUUUUCCCAAGCUAGCUUGUGUAAUAAUGCCUGGAGGCUAGUAAACAAUGAACAAUCCAAUACCUUUCAAAGCAUCCUGGAAGUACAAUAUUUGUGCUCCUUCUGUGGCAUGUAAAUAUGUCUUAUAUCAUGCAACAUGCUGCUUUUCUAAAUAUUCAUAAAAUCUUAUCUUAAAUUUCUUUUAUUUUAAUAAAAUGAAAAUCUCGGUCUGUCUUUGUGAGCAAAAUGAUGUUUCCACCAACAAAGCUACUGGAGCCA
rnacentral:lncRNA from 10 species